rnacentral:rRNA from 1 species
GCAUAGAUCGCUGGCGGCGUGCCUAAUACAUGCAAGUCGAACGGGAUUCUUUGAUCAGCUUGCUGAGAGAAGGAUCUAGUGGGCGGACGGGUGAGUAACGCGUGGGAAUCUGCCUCUUACUGGGGGAUAACAGUGGGAAACUACUGCUAAAUACCGCAUAAGAUCUUCGGAUGAAAAGGUGCAACUGCACCGGUAAGAGAUGAGCCCGCGUCCCAUUAGCUAGUUGGUGAGGUAAAGGCUCACCAAGGCGACGAUGGGUAGCCGGCCUGAGAGGGUGAACGGCCACACUGGGACUGAGACACGGCCCAGACUCCUACGGGAGGCAGCAGUAGGGAAUCUUCCGCAAUGGGCGCAAGCCUGACGGAGCGACGCCGCGUGAGUGAUGAAGGCCUUCGGGUCGUAAACUGCUUUUCCCCGGGGCGAAUAACCCCCUCGCGAGGGGGGAUGCCGGUACCGGGGGAAUAAGGAUCGGCUAACUCCGUG